CCUACGGGUGGCAGCAGUCGAGAAUCAUUCACAAUGGGGGAAACCCUGAUGGUGCGACGCCGCGUGGGGGAAUGAAGGUCUUCGGAUUGUAAACCCCUGUCAUGUGGGAGCAAAUUAAAAAGAUAGUACCACAAGAGGAAGAGACGGCUAACUCUGUGCCAGCAGCCGCGGUAAUACAGAGGUCUCAAGCGUUGUUCGGAAUCACUGGGCGUAAAGCGUGCGUAGGCUGUUUCGUAAGUCGUGUGUGAAAGGCGCGGGCUCAACCCGCGGACGGCAUAUGAUACUGCGAGACUAGAGUAAUGGAGGGGGAACCGGAAUUCUCGGUGUAGCAGUGAAAUGCGUAGAUAUCGAGAGGAACACUCGUGGCGAAGGCGGGUUGCUGGACAUUAACUGACGCUGAGGCACGAAGGCCAGGGGAGCGAAAGGGAUUAGAUACCCCAGUAGUC
rnacentral:rRNA from 1 species